UACGUAGGGUGCAGGCGUUAAUCGGAAUUACUGGGCGUAAAGCGUGCGCAGGCGGUGAUGUAAGACAGUUGUGAAAUCCCCGGGCUCAACCUGGGAACUGCAUCUGUGACUGCAUAGCUAGAGUACGGUAGAGGGGGAUGGAAUUCCGCGUGUAGCAGUGAAAUGCGUAGAUAUGCGGAGGAACACCGAUGGCGAAGGCAAUCCCCCUGGACCUGUACUGACGCUCAUGCACGAAAGCGUGGGGGAGCAAACAGG
rnacentral:rRNA from 1 species